UUUUGCGUUUUCAAAUGGAUCCUUUAUCUUUCCGAUGAUGACGCCGGUCUUCGGCGGCGACGGCUAUGAAUUGACGACGACUGAUGAGAACCCGUCUUGGCGAAGCUAUGGAUCCCUACAAUUGUAGUGGCGAGGCAUGGUCAGGCAAGUUGGCGACAUCCGCAGUAGUGUGACGAGUAGAGCACCUGGAGUGAAUAGUUCGGCAAGCAUAAUGCACGGUGAUCAAAUUGCUAGGCAUGAAUAGUGCUCGGUGAAUAGUACCAGCGAGCAUAUUGCCUGUUGACUCGAAAGCAUAGUACCGCGAGCAGAGCGGUUAAACACAUCAGAAUGGAGCACGAUAAUUAGUUAGAGACUUAGAGGUGCUUCUAGUGUCUUUGAGAUUUAGAGAAGCAAAGCAAUUAAACAGUGUGACCGAGGGAUAUACACUGAGAAGGCUCAGUACACCUUAUAAAAAUAUUUCAAUUCACCGAGUUGGUAAUGACACAGUUUGGUAAAGCAUAUUAAAAGUAGCAAAUAUACUAACAAAAAUAUUGGAUAAUUUUAAUAGCAGAUAUGUUAGUUGCCUGAAUGGUUGGUUGUGUUUGAUUUAAUUUUUGCCGAUAACAUUUAUGUUGUGCAACAUUUUGUGACAAAUAUACAUGGAGGAGUAUUAUGUA